rnacentral:rRNA from 1 species
CUACGGGGCGCUGCAGUGGGGAAUAUUGCACAAUGGGCGCAAGCCUGAUGCAGCCAUGCCGCGUGUAUGAAGAAGGCCUUCGGGUUGUAAAGUACUUUCAGCGGGGAGGAAGGGAGUAAAGUUAAUACCUUUGCUCAUUGACGUUACCCGCAGAAGAAGCACCGGCUAACUCCGUGCCAGCAGCCGGCGGUAAUACGGAGGGUGCAAGCGUUAAUCGGAAUUACUGGGCGUAAAGCGCACGCAGGCGGUUUGUUAAGUCAGAUGUGAAAUCCCCGGGCUCAACCUGGGAACUGCAUCUGAUACUGGCAAGCUUGAGGCUCGUAGAGGGGGGUAGAAUUCCAGGUGUAGCGGUGAAAUGCGUAGAGAUCUGGAGGAAUACCGGUGGCGAAGGCGGCCCCCUGGACGAAGACUGACGCUCAGGUGCGAAAGCGUGGGGAGCAAACAGGAUUAGAUACCCUUGUAGUC